UCGAGGGGUAUUAGUUUUCGGACUAAGAGACCGGCGCACGGGUGCGUAACGCGUAUGCAAUCUACCUUUUACAGAGGGAUAGCCCAGAGAAAUUUGGAUUAAUACCUCAUAGUAUAGCAGUUUCGCAUGAAACCACUAUUAAAGUCACAACGGUAAAAGAUGAGCAUGCGUCCCAUUAGCUAGUUGGUAAGGUAACGGCUUACCAAGGCUACGAUGGGUAGGGGUCCUGAGAGGGAGAUCCCCCACACUGGUACUGAGACACGGACCAGACUCCUACGGGAGGCAGCAGUGAGGAAUAUUGGACAAUGGGCGCAAGCCUGAUCCAGCCAUGCCGCGUGCAGGAUGACGGUCCUAUGGAUUGUAAACUGCUUUUGUACGAGAAGAAACACUCCUAUGUAUAGGAGCUUGACGGUAUCGUAAGAAUAAGGAUCGGCUAACUCCGUGCCAACAGCCGCGGUAAUACGGAGGAUCCAAGCGUUAUCCGGAAUCAUUGGGUUUAAAGGGUCCGUAGGCGGUUUAGUAAGUCAGUGGUGAAAGCCCAUCGCUCAACGGUGGAACGGCCAUUGACACUGCUGAACUUGAAUUAUUAGGAAGUAACUAGAAUAUGUAGUGUAGCGGU
rnacentral:rRNA from 1 species